UACGGAGGGUGCAAGCGUUAUCCGGAUUUACUGGGCUUAAAGGGCGCGUAGGCGGUUUGGUAAGUCCGUGGUGAAAUCUCUGGGCUUAACUCAGAAACUGCCAUUGAUACUAUCAGUCUUGAAUACCGUGGAGGUCAGCGGAAUAUGUCAUGUAGCGGUGAAAUGCUUAGAUAUGACAUAGAACACCAAUUGCGAAGGCAGCUGGCUACACGAAUAUUGACACUGAGGCACGAAAGCGUGGGGAUCAAACAGG
rnacentral:rRNA from 1 species